rnacentral:rRNA from 1 species
GACAGAGGUCACGAGCGUUAGGCGGAAUCACUGGGCUUAAAGCGUGUGUAGGCGGACGGGUAAGUACCUUGUGAAAUCCCACGGCUCAACCGUGGAACUGCUUGGUAUACUGCCUGUCUUGAGCCAGCUAGGGGCAACCGGAACAAAUGGUGGAGCGGUGAAAUGCGUAGAUAUCUGGAGGAACACCGGUGGCGAAGGCGGCAUCCUGGACCAACACUGACGCUGAGGAGCGAAAGCCAGGGGAGCAAACGGG